CACUAGGUAGUCGAUGCAAGGAUGUCAAAUUACGUCUUUGGAAAGAACACAAAAAAAGUAAUCUGAUUGAAACGUUGAGGAAUCGACCCGAGAAAAUUCCUGAAAAUCAAUGGUCUCAUUUCGUUCACAAGAGGUUCACUGAAAAGUGGAAGAAAAUGCAAGAGCGGAAUACAAGGAGCCAAAAAAACAAUACCAUGCCUCACUUAUGUGGAAGAAAGAGUUUUUCAAGAAAAAGAAAUGAGAUUAAAGUCAAGAUCGGAAAAACACCAUGUCGAGCCGAAUUUUUCAUUGAGACUCGCAAGAAACCUGAUGGAACCUUUGUGUCUGAGGAGGCGAAAAUACGCGCGGCUAGUUUUAUUAUAGUCACUUUGAAUUUUGAUCAAUACUUUUUCGAAGUGAACUUUUAAGAAAAAAGCUGGAGGUGCGUUGUUUUAGUCUGUUGGAUUUUUCCUUGUAUCAUUUAUAAAGGAAGCACUUACCACGUUGAUGGAGCAAAAUCCGCAAGUCCCGAGCAAUGUUACUGCUAGAUUGGAUGAUGAAUAUGCUCAAGUGUUUGGUCCAGAGUCUUCAGGACGAGUUCGUUGUGUUGGCCGUGGACCCACACCUUCAAAAUUAGUGAGACACUCGACGGCUGCAACUACACAAGAGAUAGAGAAUUCUGAAACAGUUACCCAGCUGAGGACACAAUUGAAAGUUUUAGCAGAUCAGGUUAAGGCAAUGUCUACAUUCGUUGGACAAAUACUUGGUAAUUCAACUGGCGAACAGGUAUUAAUAUAUAACAAUAGUUUUGUAAGUUUAUUUGCAUUAGUAUAAAUUAGAUAUAUAAAACUAAUGUUUUACGUUGAAUAUUCAGGCAACUGCAUGGGCUGUAAAUUUUGCAACAGCUUUUGCGAACAUACCAAAUCCAGCCUUUGUAAACAUUCCAAAUCCACCGAAUCCUCGGGAAUUGGAUGAUGGUGCCAAUGAUAAACGCUAGAUGCUUAAGCAUUCAACCAAAUGCUAGUCAUCAUCAUCUACGUACGAUGAUCAACAUCUGUUUGUCACAACAUUUUAGCCU